UUGGUCCCGCAUCCACCCAGAGGAAUUCUCCCUACUGCCCACACCAGAAAUACCCUGUCUACACUGCAGACGGUGGCCCGCACACUGUCUGGGAGUUACAAAGAGACUCGACUCACAGGGGACUUUGCUCCUGGGUCUAGGGACAGGAAGAUGGUGGGCGAUGUGAUCGGGGCUCAGAGCUACGCCUCCACUGCCAAGUGCCUGAACAUCAGUGCCCUGGUCUUAAGCAUUGCUCUGACCAUUGGCCUCAUCGUUGUGUUUGCCUUCACCUCCGUGCAGUUGUUCAAGGCGAUAUCUGACCUUCAGGGCCACUAGUUCUGCAUAUCCUUCCCUGCACAGCUUCCUUCGCCUUGGGCUGGGUCCUGUCCUGCAACCCACACCCUGACCAGCUGUCCACAACUGGGAUCAAUAAAGUGUGCAUGUUCCUGU